rnacentral:rRNA from 1 species
GAUGAACGCUGGCGGCGUGCCUAAUACAUGCAAGUCGAGCGAACAGACGAGGCGCUUGCUCCUCUGACGUUAGCGGCGGACGGGUGAGUAACACGUGGAUAACCUACCUAUAAGACUGGGAUAACUUCGGGAAACCGGAGCUAAUACCGGAUAAUAUAUUGAACCGCAUGGUUCAAUAGUGAAAGACGGUUUUGCUGUCACUUAUAGAUGGAUCCGCGCCGCAUUAGCUAGUUGGUAAGGUAACGGCUUACCAAGGCAACGAUGCGUAGCCGACCUGAGAGGGUGAUCGGCCACACUGGAACUGAGACACGGUCCAGACUCCUACGGGACGCAGCAGUAGGGAAUCUUACGCAAUGGGCGAAAGCCUGACGGAGCAACGCCGCGUGAGUGAUGAAGGUCUUCGGAUCGUAAAACUCUGUUAUUAGGGAAGAACAAAUGUGUAAGUAACUAUGCACGUCUUGACGGUACCUAAUCAGAAAGCCACGGCUAACUACGUG